UACAGAGGUCUCAAGCGUUGUUCGGAUUCAUUGGGCGUAAAGGGUGUGUAGUUGGCGCGCUAAGUCGGGUGUGAAAUUUCGGAGCUUAACUCCGAAACUGCAUUCGAUACUGGCGUGCUUGAGGACUGGAGAGGAGACUGGAAUUCAUGGUGUAGCAGUGAAAUGCGUAGAGAUCAUGAGGAAGACCAGUGGCGAAGGCGGGUCUCUGGACAGUUCCUGACACUGAGACACGAAGGCCAGGGGAGCAAACGGG
rnacentral:rRNA from 1 species